GUGAACGCUGGCGGUAGGCCUAACACAUGCAAGUCGAACGGCAGCACAGUAAGAGCUUGCUCUUACGGGUGGCGAGUGGCGGACGGGUGAGGAAUACAUCGGAAUCUACUUUUUCGUGGGGGAUAACGUAGGGAAACUUACGCUAAUACCGCAUACGACCUACGGGUGAAAGCAGGGGAUCUUCGGACCUUGCGCGAUUGAAUGAGCCGAUGUCGGAUUAGCUAGUUGGCGGGGUAAAGGCCCACCAAGGCGACGAUCCGUAGCUGGUCUGAGAGGAUGAUCAGCCACACUGGAACUGAGACACGGUCCAGACUCCUACGGGAGGCAGCAGUGGGGAAUAUUGGACAAUGGGCGCAAGCCUGAUCCAGCCAUACCGCGUGGGUGAAGAAGGCCUUCGGGUUGUAAAGCCCUUUUGUUGGGAAAGAAAAGCAGCAGGUUAAUACCUCGCUGUUCUGACGGUACCCAAAGAAUAAGCACCGGCUAACUUCGUG
rnacentral:rRNA from 1 species